rnacentral:tRNA from 1 species
AGUCUAUGAACUUGUAUAAGUAUAUACUUUGAAAGUAUAAAAAAGAAAUAAAAUACAGAUAA